rnacentral:rRNA from 1 species
UACCAGCACCCCGAGUGGUCGGGACGAUUAUUGGGCCUAAAGCAUCCGUAGCCGGUCCUACAAGUCUUCCGUUAAAUCCACCUGCUCAACAGAUGGGCUGCGGAAGAUACUAUAGAGCUAGGAGGCGGGAGAGGCAAGCGGUACUCGAUGGGUAGGGGUAAAAUCCGUUGAUCCAUUGAAGACCACCAGUGGCGAAGGCGGCUUGCCAGAACGCGCUCGACGGUGAGGGAUGAAAGCUGGGGGAGCAAACCGG